rnacentral:rRNA from 1 species
AAUACCCGAUAUGGCGAGAGCUGAAAGAUUAAUUGCCUGAAGAUGAACUCGCGUCCGAUUAGCUAGUUGGAGUGGUAAAGGCACCCCAAGGCGAUGAUCGGUAGCUGGUCUGAGAGGAUGAUCAGCCACACUGGGACUGAGACACGGCCCAGACUCCUACGGGAGGCAGCAGUGGGGAAUUUUCCGCAAUGGGCGAAAGCCUGACGGAGCAAUACCGCGUGCGGGAGGACGGCCUUUGGGUUGUAAACCGCUUUUCUCAGGGAAGAAGAUCUGACGGUACCUGAGGAAUCAGCAUCGGCUAACUCCGUGCCAGCAGCCGCGGUAAUACGGAGGAUGCAAGCGUUAUCCGGAAUUAUUGGGCGUAAAGCGUCCGCAGGUGGUUGGUCAAGUCUGCUGUCAAAGCGUGGAGCUUAACUCCAUAAGGGCGGUGGAAACUGAUUAACUAGAGGAUGGUAGGGGUCACGGGAAUUCCCAGGGUAGCGGUGAAAUGCGUAGAUAUUGGGAAGAACACCAGCGGAGAAC